rnacentral:rRNA from 1 species
UACGGGGGGGGGCAAGCGUUGUUCGGAAUUACUGGGCGUAAAGGGCUUGUAGGUGGCCAACUAAGUCAGACGUGAAAUCCCUCGGCUUAACCGGGGAACUGCGUCUGAUACUGGAUGGCUGGAGUGUGGGAGAGGGAUGCGGAAUUCCAGGUGUAGCGGUGAAAUGCGUAGAUAUCUGGAGGAACACCGGUGGCGAAGGCGGCAUCCUGGACCAUUACUGACGCUGAGGAGCGAAAGCGUGGGGAGCGAACAGG